rnacentral:rRNA from 1 species
UACGGAGGAUCCAAGCGUUAUCCGGAAUUACUGGGCGUAAAGAGUUGCGUAGGUGGCACUGUAAGUCGGUAGUGAAAGCGUGGGGCUCAACCCCAUAAUACAUUAUCGAAACUGCAGAGCUAGAGGACGAGAGAGGCAUCUGGAAUUCCUAGUGUAGGAGUGAAAUCCGUAGAUAUUAGGAGGAACACCGAUGGCGUAGGCAGGGUGCUGGCUCGUUCCUGACACUAAGGCACGAAAGCGUGGGGAGCAAACGGG